rnacentral:rRNA from 2 species
GAUAUGACGUGCUUGCACUGAAUUGACGUUGGAUUACCAGUGAGCGGCGGACGGGUGAGUAACACGUGGGCAACCUGCCCUGAAGNGGGGGAUAACAUCUGGAAACAGGUGCUAAUACCGCAUAACAACGAAAACCACAUGGUUUUCGUUUCAAAGAUGGUUUCGGCUAUCACUUNAGGAUGGGCCCGCGGUGCAUUAGCUAGUUGGUAAGGUAACGGCUUACCAAGGCAAUGAUGCAUAGCCGAGUUGAGAGACUGAUCGGCCACAAUGGAACUGAGACACGGUCCAUACUCCUACGGGAGGCAGCAGUAGGGAAUCUUCCACAAUGGGCGCAAGCCUGAUGGAGCAACACCGCGUGAGUGAAGAAGGGUUUCGGCUCGUAAAGCUCUGUUGUUGGAGAAGAACGUGCGUGAGAGUAACUGUUCACGCAGUGACGGUAUCCAACCAGAAAGUCACGGNUUACUACGUGCCACAGCCCGCGGUAAUUAA